rnacentral:lncRNA from 1 species
AAUUACUUUUCCUCCUUGUUUCUUCUUCUGCCUCCCUCCUCUCCUCUCUCUUUGCAGGUGGUUCAGAAAUGCAUUCCUUUUCUACUCAGGAAUUUGAAGAGUUCAAGCCAUCAUGACAUCGUCCUAAACAUCCUUACAGAGAUAGCUGGCUACGAACCAGUGGCUCUGAGCAGUUUUCUUCCAACGCUGGAAGAGACUGGUAAGAGAUUCCCGUGUCUCAUUGGACAAACGGCAAGGGUCUAUGGAGCUGCUGGGCACGUGGAUGAAAUUGCAAUGGGUGCCUCUCGGACAACAGCAGAAAUUACUUCUUAGAAGUUCCUAUGGAUCUCUCCCAAACAUACCUCCAGACAACCUCCCUCUCUGGUUUCUACUCUGCCCUAGCUCGCCUACCCCAUGCUCCUAUGCUCUGUCUCCUCGGGAUUAUACUUCCCUCUCUAAACACAGCGGCAUUGUGAUCUUCACAACCUGUUUCUCUCUGGAUAACCCUCACCUGCUCCUUCUAUUUAGCUUUUUCUGACCCAGCUCAGAUGCUCCCUCUUGCAGACUGAGUCACCACUGGUCUAUACCCCCUCCACACUCAAGCUGCCCCAUAAAUGUUGUAUUCGUGGUGCCAUGUUUUGAUUCACAGGCCCAUGUGUGUUUCUCCUCCGUGAGUCUCUGAGAAAAGAAAUCCUGUUGUAUCCAAUGGAAUUCCCCUGUGGCCAUGAAUGAUUACUCCAGAGAACUGUUAAUUAAAAAUGUGAAGGUUGAAUUCUCACUUGACACUGUCAUCUGAUCAAGUCCUUGUC